GACGAACGCUGGCGGCGUGCCUAAUACAUGCAAGUCGAGCGAAUGAUGAAGAAGCUUGCUUCUUCUGAUUUAGCGGCGGACGGGUGAGUAACACGUGGGCAACCUACCCAGUAGAUUGGGAUAACUCCGGGAAACCGGGGCUAAUACCGAAUAAUCCGUUUGUCACAUGGCAAAAUGCUGAAAGGCGGUUUCGGCUGUCACUACUAGAUGGGCCCGCGGUGCAUUAGCUAGUUGGUGGGGUAAUGGCCUACCAA
rnacentral:rRNA from 1 species